rnacentral:rRNA from 1 species
AGCUCCAAUAGCGUAUAUUAAAGUUGUUGCAGUUAAAAGCUCGUAGUUGGAUUUCUGGUAGGAGUGACCGUACCAGACUUGAUUGUCUGUGUAAUGGUUAUCUUCAGCCAUCCUUGUAGUGAAAUUUUCUGGCAUUAAUUUGUUGGAGAUGGGAACUGCAUCGUUUACUGUGAAAAAUUAGAGUGUUUAAAGCAGGCAAUAAGCUUGAAUACAUUAGCAUGGAAUAAUAAGAUAGGACUUUGGUACUAUUUGUUGGUUUGCAUACCAAAUUAAUGAUCAACAGGAACAGUUUGAGGAUAUUCGUAUGAACAUGUCAGAGGUGAAAUUCUUGGAUUUUGAUCAGACGAACUACUGCGAAAGCAUUUAUCAAGGAUGUUUUCAUUAAUCAAGAACAGGAG